rnacentral:lncRNA from 1 species
GAGGCGCACCGUCACACUACAUUCGCGUUUCACCAAUCCUCCGGUUAUCCGUGCCAGUGCCCAUGAUAAUAUGGCACCGUUGAAUAUGCGGCAUAUAGAUCAUAACAUCCUAAUGCCUCAUUACAGGGUGAGUCGCACCGUUUCAUAGACCGUUCCGCUUUGGAGCUCUCACUGCUCCGAUAUCUCGGUGAACACAGCUAUCAGAUGACAGGCGUUCACCCGUGACCGCCAGCACCCGGGUGGCACAAUUCCUCUCAGGUUACGACCUGUGGUUUCGCAUAUGUACUUUACAAAUCCUUUUGCAGACUUACGUGUUUCUGGGCACAUGAUAUUUUAGAAUCGUAUGCGCUUUCUCUUAUCACCUAUGCGUGCUAAAACUUUGCGUGUCCCUAUGUUGUUGCUGCUCCGUUUCGGGAAGACAACUUGCUUUCUUAAUGCUUGCUUUCGGCCUACAGACUAAUAGUUUGGAGUGGAAGGCUACUGCAAAUGUCCUCAACGAUAUCAACGCGGUGAAUGCAGGAUUAAGUCGCUGCUGCAAUACGGACGGUAUUGAGCUAACGCCCUGUAAAUGUUUUUCGGAAACCAUUGAAGCGUUGUUCAGGCUUCUGGCAUUAACUAUUAUAUAGAGGCUCCUCGCGAAGACUGUUCUUCCGGCAAAGGUUACGCUUGGACGAACUUUUGCAACGUUGCUUGGUUGCCCUAAGGUUUUAUAGACAGCUUAGUUGUGCUUUUGUCAAACAGGAUUUAACCUGACGAACAAAAGGGGUAACACAACUCGGAACUUCUUACUUUCUUUCUUCAUACCGCAAAAAUGCCCGUGAAGAACUUAAUCCAUGGCUUCAGGUACAUACUCAUUCGCUUCUAGGAUAUGGGUUUGCCCGGAUGUGCACGCCGGCAGUCAGCGGUACAUGCGCACACCCUACCACCUGUACCGCUUCGCUCGCAACACAAGAAGCAGGGAUAAAUGUAUCUACGUAUUUGCAGCACACGUGAAACCAGCAGAACGAAACGCUGUUUGAACUACUGACGGUCCACAUAUAACCAGCAACGUGCGCCCCUGCAACCUUCUGGUUGACAUCGACAGCCCAACCACACCCUGACGUCUGGCCGGCACGGAAACCGUUGAAUUUGCAAACCCCUAGUCGUAUCUCCCUGCAAGCCCUUCCAGGACCAAUCACACCAUAUUCCCCCCUCCAUCUUCGUUCCCGUUACCCCUCACACCUCGUUAAUUGUACCCCUCACCUGCUGUCAACUGCACAUGUGCCCAUAUAUCCGUGAUUUACUACACCCACCGACUGACGCUAAUACUUGAAGAAGCCAUCGUCGCCUUUCCUCGUCGUGCAGCAAGUCCUACCAACCCCCUAAUCCCACCGGUAUCUUACUCGGGCAGCGCCUCGAGGUCGGAGGACACCAUUCUCUGCUGCAGUCGCCGCAUCUGCACCGCCAAGCGUCCCAGCACUGAGGCCAUCUCCUCGCUCUCCGCCACAGCGCUGUUCUCCAGCGCCUCCACCAGAGACAGCACCUCAGCCACCUCCUCGUGCGUGAAACCGUUGCUCACCUGUCCCGCAGACCCCGAACCCUGGGAUGACGCCGAGUUCACCCCCGACCCCGCCCGUCCCACUCCGUCAUCGGCGGACGCCACGUUGAAGAGAGCCUUGCAUACGACGUCAAUAAUGGCCUCGUCGCGAUCACCCAGCUCGUCCUGUGCCACAGUGCGGCUCAACACCUCGACCAAUCGCGAUGUGCCGCCCAGUGCGCCCAGUACAUGCUUGCGUGAGGCAUCCAUUGUGAAGUUGAUGAGCGUGCCGCAUACAGAGUAGAGCACCUCGGCGUUGCUGUGGUCCAGAAGCAGCACCAGGGCCUCCACAACGCGGGCGGCCUGUGGGCGCGAUGCGGGCAGCGGGCACGCAAAUGCAGGAAGGCGGG